rnacentral:rRNA from 1 species
GACGAACGCUGGCGGCGUGCUUAACACAUGCAAGUCGAACGGAAAGGCCCUGCUUUUGUGGGGUGCUCGAGUGGCGAACGGGUGAGUAACACGUGAGUAACCUGCCCUUGACUUUGGGAUAACUUCAGGUAACUGGGGCUAAUACCGGAUAGGAGCUCCUGCUGCAUGGUGGGGGUUGGAAAGUUUCGGCGGUUGGGGAUGGACUCGCGGCUUAUCAGCUUGUUGGUGGGGUAGUGGCUUACCAAGGCUUUGACGGGUAGCCGGCCUGAGAGGGUGACCGGCCACAUUGGGACUGAGAUACGGCCCAGACUCCUACGGGGGGCAGCAGUGGGGAAUAUUGCACAAUGGGCGGAAGCCUGAUGCAGCAACGCCGCGUGCGGGAUGACGGCCUUCGGGUUGUAAACCGCUUUCGCCUGUGACGAAGCGUGAGUGACGGUAAUGGGUAAAGAAGCACCGGCUAACUACGUG